UACGGAGGAUCCGAGCGUUAUCCGGAUUUAUUGGGUUUAAAGGGAGCGUAGGCGGGUUGUUAAGUCAGUUGUGAAAGUUUGCGGCUCAACCGUAAAAUUGCAGUUGAUACUGGCAUCCUUGAGUACAGUAGAGGUAGGCGGAAUUCGUGGUGUAGCGGUGAAAUGCUUAGAUAUCACGAGGAACUCCGAUUGCGAAGGCAGCCUGCUGGACUGUAACUGACGCUGAUGCUCGAAAGUGUGGGUAUCAAACAGG
rnacentral:rRNA from 1 species